CGAGUAAGCCAGAUGGUCGCGUACAAUAUGUACGAGGAAAGUCCGAGCUCCAUAGGGCAAGGUGCCGGGUAAUACCCGGUGGAGGUGACUCCAAGGAAAGUGCAACAGAGAUAUACCGCCUGCUAUUUAUUUUGAUAUGAAUUGCAAUUUUAUUAAGUACGUUAUACAUAUCGAAAUAAGUAGCGGGUAAGGGUGGAAAGGCGAGGUAAGAGCUCACCAGCAUCCAGGCGACUGGAAUGCUCUGUAAACCCCACCUGGAGCAAGGUAAAAUAGGAGGGAAUAAUAAGUGGCCCGCUUAACCCUCGGGUAAAACCGCUAGAGGUAUCAGGCAACUGAUAUCGUAGAUAGAUGACCAUCUAAAACAGAACUCGGCUUAUAGACUUGCUCGUAAU
rnacentral:RNase_P_RNA from 2 species